rnacentral:lncRNA from 1 species
CUGCAAAGGCCAGGCAGAGAGCAAAAGAUCGUUUUGUAGUACUGGAAGACAAACAAGAGAUAAGACAGAUGGUGUGAAAGGGGAGGCUGGAGACCAGAGGAAGAAUCCACAGAUAACAGACUGAACGCAUCUGGGGAUUUGCUGUGGAAUGUAUGACUUCAUUUAUCAGCGGAAGGACUGGCUUGUGUCGCCAGCCUCUGGGUCUGCCUACUUGGGAAGGGGGUGGUGUGCUGUACACAGCAGCACCGCAAAUCACAGGGCUUUUUGAUAUGUUGCAGUUCUAAGUUUAAUAACUGGCAACAAUAGUCUCUAUGUCAGUUCCUCACUAAGGAAGUUUCUCUGGACUCUCAAAGAGUGUUCCUCAAGCCAGGUACUGCACUGUCACGGACCAGCUCAGGUACAAGCUACUCCCAAAGAAGAAUGCCUCCUGGAUGUCACUUCCUGACUGUCUCUCUAAUCAGAAGCCUUCUCUUCACACCUUGGCCUGGGCUUGGUCAAUUUCAGCUACUGUGAUCAAAAAGGGCUUCUGACUGGCCUGCUAUCCUCAGAGCUAAGUCUCUGCAAUCAGUGAUCCUCAGAAGUGAGCCAAUGCACCUUGGGAGGGAGGGAGGAGAGAAGUCAGGAAGCAUUCAGUGAGUAUUCUAGAAGAUUCGUAUGAACCUGUGCUUGUUUGUUUGUUUAAACACACUCAAGUGCACACACACUUGUAUAUAAGGACAGAGUGUGUUUAUAGGCAUACCUGUGUGUUGAUUAGGAUAUAUAGAGGCAUUAAGUCCCAUCAUCUAUCUGUUCACCUAUCUCUCCUAUUACUCUAAUGCACCAAAUGACUUUAGAUGCUUCUCCUUGUCAUUCUGGAUAUCCAUCUAUAAAAAGACAUCAUAGAAUUUCUUAAAGGUCCCUCCUAAGUGUCACCUUUUCAGAACUUUUGCCUAACUGAGAUUACUUAUUUGUCAGAGGAGAAAAUGUUGACCCUUAACUAUAUUGUCAGCGGCCUGAAACUAUAAUCAAUGUUUCUUCAUUCAUUCAUUCUCCCUUCAGUCAUUAUUUAUUUACACGUUAGGCACUGGGUGAGAUAUUAAAGUUCAAAUGAUCAAAGUGGUUUCUGCCCUAAGGGGUUCCCAGUUUAUUGGAAGAUACAGGCAAGUAGAUGAGCAAACUUCAACACAACAGGAUAGUUUAUAUAGCACAGGGAUGCUCAGGAUACUUAAAACUCCCCCUCAAAAAAAAAAAAAAAACAGACCUAGAACAUACUUUCUUAUGUAUGGAAAAUGAAAUAAGAAAGACAAAGAUUGAUUGAUGGAUUUUGGAAGUUUGUUUGUUUGUUUAAGAAAAUAAGUUGUAGCAGCAUGUAGUUUAAACCAAACAACUAAAUGUGCUUUGAUCCUGAUUUUUUAAUUUGUUCCUCUUAGUUCUACAUGACAGUAGAAUAUAUUUUGACAUACUUAUACAAAGAUAGAGUAUGUCUUAUUCUAACUAGGAUCCCAGUCUUGUACAUGAUGUAGAGAUUCACCAAGGCAUGUUCAUAUAUGUAUAUAGGAGAGUUAUAUCAAAAUCAGUGAAAACUGUCUUCUUAGUCCUGUCCUUUUGAAUUUUUUUUUAAAUUUUGGCUGAGUGGGCACCAUCUCAGCUAGACCACCUGGAAAGAUGGGACAGAGGGAAACAGUUCUAGUCAAACUUGUGAAAGUGGCUAAGCAGCUGUGCUUUGAGUGUUCUGAGCCCCCUGUCCAAUGGUGCAGAUUUGGUAAGAAACCCUAUUUAAAGCAUACCACGAGAUACUAUAAAGCUCAAAGGGGGAAAGUGUCAGAUGUGCUACUCUGCCAUCCAUUCCCCAUAGAGUGGACAGGUAAGGCCCAUUUCUAAAGGAUUCUAUUGGACAAGCCACUAAAGCAACAUAGAGCCCAGCCCUAAACCAUCCUGUCAUCUGCUACUUCUGGCCUCAGAUGUCCCUGCUCCCAUCCACAAGGAGUAAGAGGAUAGGAAGGCAGGUGCUCUCUGACACUAAAUUGAAGAUACCAGUCAAUUCCUGAUGGAGCCCCUAACCUGCUACGGUUUGGUGUGAAGGGACAGUUAAAGGCAGAUAGAAUCAGAGUCAUAUUCAGAACACAGAGCUGAGCUCCAAGCUCAGUUUCAUGAUGCUUAAAUGUUGACUGCAAUAUGCCACUCUCACCAACCCAUUGCAAAGAUGAAAUAGUGAUGUAUAUAAAACCCAUAUUACACACUGCAAAGUGUGUGAAAGUAAGUGAAAGUAAGCAAUAGCCAACUGUCCUUCCAGCAGAAUGAUGUGUUCCCCUGUGCGAUUUAAGUGCUCCUGAGGAUGUUCUUUUGGACUCACCCUUGUUGGAUCCUGCAGUCCUGGUCUCAUUCUCAUCUGACUUAUCUGGUCCAGCUGAAGCAGGAGACAGCUCAGUCCUCCCAUCUUAGUUGCUCCUCCCCUCCAAGUGGGAGCAGCUAAGCCAGGAGGAAUCCUGAUCCCAGGGGAGCUCUGAAGGAGCUGAGUCAGUGCCCACACAGCUACCAGACAGGAAAUGCAUCAGACAGGCUUUCUCUUCCCAAGGGAACCUGGCUCACCAGCAGCACUGAGUGGAAGGGUCCACACCCAGCUGAGGAUAAGACAAUUGGCUGUCCCGGGCUUCCUUGCUGCUUCGCUGUGAGUUUCAAACAAUCGCCACUUCUUCUGAAGGUACAACUGAGAGCCUUUGGUUCUUAUCAUCAUCGUGAGCACAAAGCCUGAGAUCCCGGUAACAACACAGAGACAGAAGUGAGCAAUGAAGCAACAUGAUCCGGUUGGGAGAAGCACAUUCUCUGAGCAUGAAAGAAAAAAAAAAAACACUAGUCAACAAUCCCUUUAAAUCUCAGCGUCCCUGAAAAUCACGAAAAUUAAUGGCAGAUAUGAUUUGGUUCUGAAAUUGGCAAGUAAGAGUGAGAGAAUACAUGAAUAAGGGACAUGGUACCCAGUGCUGGUGAGAGUGUGAAUGAACAGACACUCGCAUAUACUACCUAGGAGCAAAAAGGACAUGACUUAACCAGUAAUGAUACUAUGGUUUAGAUGUGAGGUGUCCCCCAAAAGCUCAUGUGUGAGACAAUGCAGGAGAGUUCAGAGGUGAAAUGAUUGGAUUAUGAAAGCAUUACCCUAAUCAUUGCAUCAAUCCAAUUGAAUGAAUUAACUGGGUGGUAAUUAUACGUAGGUAGGAUGUAGCUGAAGGAUGUAGGUCUUUGAGGGUGUGCUUUUGGGGUGAUUAUUUCGUCUCUGGUGAGUGAGCAUUCUCUCUCUGCCUCCUGGUGCUGUGUUCUGAGCUGUUUUCCUCUGCCGUGCCCUUAUACCAGGAUGUUCUUCUGCACCUCUGGCCCAGAGCAAUAAUCUGCCAUCUGUGGAUGGAGACCUCUGAAACUGUGAGCACCAAAUACACAUUUUCUCCUCUUAAAUUACUUUUGUUGGGUCUUUUGAGCACAACAGUGAAAAAAGAUGACUAAAACAACUAACAUUUUGUAAAAACUUAAAAAUAUAUUAAUAUGUAUUAUUAAGCAGAAAAUCAGACUAUAAAACAUGUACAAUCUGUCCUAUGGAGAGCAAAUAUAUAUAUUUGUAUAUCUGCAUAAUAAAAUUAUCUAAUUAUAUAACAAAAAUGUACCUCAUACUUCAUUCAGGAUGAUGUAAAGCCAUAGGUGAUUUUUAAUGCUUUUUAAUAUUAGAAAUAGAGGUAUUACACAACAGAAACAAAACAUAACUCUUAAAAAAGAAGAAAGCUCAUUUUAAUAGUUGAUCUAAUGGAAAAGGAGAAUAAAACAGUGGUUACUACAGGGUGAGGGGAGAGGGGAAGAGAGGGAUGGGGGAAGACUUAUGAAUGGGUACUAAGUUACAAUAAAAUAAGAACAAGAAAUUCUGUUGUGUUAUUGCACAGUAGGGUGACUAGAGAUAACAAUAAUAUGCUGUAUAUUUCAUAAAGAUAGAAGAAAGAAUUUUGAAUGUUUUCAUCAUAAAUGAUAAAUGUUUUAUGAGAGAGAUACAUUUAACCUGUUUAGAACAUUAUAUAAUGUAUACGUGUAUUGACACUUCACAUGGUAUCACAUUUAUAUGUCUAAAGUUUUAGUUUGUAUGUAUUCUGAAAAUUUUAAAAAAGAACAUUUUGUUAAGAAAAGAGGUAACUGAAAAUAAACAUUUGUUUACCUGCUACAACAGGCCAGAGAUUAUGCUAAAGAAUUUGCAUGCAUCAUCUUAGUUGAGCCUGACAGCCUCUGUGAGGGCAGGUAUGAUUAAAUAUUAUUAUUAUUAUUAUUUGUAUGUAACCCAGACAAUUUUAUUAUCCCUUCCCACACAUUUAAAAAAUUAAGAAUUAAAAAAUCUACCAACCAACUAAAAAGAAUUCAAGUGAUUUAUUGGAGUUUCUUAUUAAUGUGGAAAAUAAAAAUACAGAUGGUGAUGAGGAAAACAUAUUCCUAAAACUUUAUAGAUAGCAUAAUCUUAAUUGUGUAAAAUACCCAUAUGAACUCAUACAGAAGAGAUCAAAGAAUUAAAAAUUCCACCAAAAAAUUUAUAGGUGUCUAUUUCAGCUGUGAGUUGGAGUGUUUCAUUCCUGUUCUUUUGAAACACCAAAAUUGACGCUCUAAUAAGAUAUUACAAAUUUAUAUUAUAUAUUAUUAUUUUAUAAUAUAAUUUUAUAAACUUAUAAUAAACUAUAGUUUUAAAUUUAAGAGUGUAAAUAUACAAGUAUAUAAAUAAACACAAAAGUAAAUAUUUGCUCUUAUUCUAUUUUACUGGGACCUAAGUUAGUCUUGUUUUGGGGUCUAUUUUUGUUCAGGGAGAAGGAAAGGAGGGGGGGUCAUAUUCUAUAUACCUGAGAUUCUAGAAGAAACUUAUUGAUAUUUCAAAUGCAUUUUUGAUAUAAGCCUGUCAAUCUUGGCUGCACAUUAGAAUCACUUGGGUGCUUUUAGAAGGUAUUAAAGGCUGGGUUUCAUCUCCAAGAAAUUCCUAUUUUAUUGGUUGAGGCUUGCAUCUACCGCAGUCAUCAGGAUUUUGUUUCACCUCUCCUAGUUGAUACUACUAUGUAGCCAGGGCUGAAAAUACUUAGGUUAUAGCAUUUAAAUGCCAAAGCCUGUCUCCAGAAACCAAAGCCAACAUCUCUGAGAGUAGGUGCUAUCAAUAAAUGCCUCCCCUGGAGUACACCCCAUGCAAAUACAUUCCAGGCCUGGAGCUAAUCCUACUUCCAAAUGUAGCAAUAUUCUUUCUUUGUCUCCACUCCCUCCCCUAUUUUCCUUUAUACAUUUCAAACCAUGCUCCAAAGAACAUCUGGGGCUUUUUGAAUUUUAAUCCAUUGACUAUCUUCCUUGAUAUUAAUUUUUUUGAUUAGAGCUUCAAAGGAUUGAAUAUUUUUAUGACUCUUGAUGGUUCCUAUAUUACUUUCCAAAAGGCUCCUACUGCUUUUCAUUAUCCCUGAUACGUAACAAUUUACUUCAUUAAAUUAUUCCAUUUUUCUGACUUUGGUGACUAUAGCAGGUAUAAAUAUUCUAUCUACUUCUUCAUUUAUGAUCGCUACCUAUUCUCCCUUACUUGGAAAAAUUACUUUACAAAUGUAUCUAUUAUCAUCUGCAAUAAUAUUAUUAUGAAUACAUAUAAAUCCUAUAAAUAACUUAGACAUGAUCACUUUAAUGAAAACUUUAAGCAUUUUUCCUGUCUGCUUUUUUUAUUGUUUUUGUUUCUCUUUACUAUGAAGAUAGAUUUCAUGUAAUGAAAGAUAAAACGGUUGAAUUUAAAAAUUUAUCACUUCAAAACUUGUAAGUAUUUUUUCUUCCAAUGAUCUCAUAAAGUGUUAAUUCUAUUUUGAUAUGUGAGUGUGUAUAUAAGUUUUUUAUCCAACAAGGAUUUAUACCAGUUUGUAGAUGCAAAGGAGCUACUGAAAUUUUCACUCUUCAAAGAUUAGCUAAUUUUGCAAAAACUGUUUAUACACUGGCCCCUUCCCUUCAAGUCACAUGAGCAAGUGCACAUACAGGUUUUCCCUUCUGUCUCAUUGAUCCACCUGUCUAGUUUUGUGCAAGUAACAUGCUGAGUUAAAUCCUGCUGCCACAUAAUAUCGUUUUAUAUCCAAAAGAGCUGGCAUUCCCUAAUUCUUUAAGAUAUUAUUUGACAUAUGCUCAAAUAUAUUUUAUAAAAUUCUAAUUUAUUGCAUGAUAUUUCCUUUUGAUCUUUUGCUCAGGAUUAAAUAAAAUGUGUAAAUUAAUUUGUAAACCAAAAAUAUUUUAAUCAUAUUUUUGGAUGCAUUGAAAUUUCCUAAUACUCACAGCCAUCUCUUACGGAUCAAAGCAAAGGACAAUGACCCCAUUUCUCUCUUCUCAGGACCUAAUUCUUUUACUUUCCUUUUAGCAAUAAGUUUCUUGCCAAUCACAGGUCCAGGUUUGAGAAUUAUGAGAAGAUCCUAAGAUUUUUAUUUCUACUUCCUGACAGUGGCACUAAGUACCCAGAAAAAUAGCAAAUCAAUGUCCAGCAUUGAAUUCAGACUUCACCUUCAAACAAAGCAAGAAGCGCCAUGCUGAAUUUGGGUGCACAGUCUGGCCUUGUGAACAAGAAAAGGACCAAGGUGAUUAUUUAGGGCUGUCAUGUUGGGCAUCCAGACUUUAACCCUGUUCAGUAAAAAAAUAUUGCUUUUAAAUGUAUCAUAUCACCACUGUAAGCAUGCACACUUAUUUAAAAUUUCUCUUCCCUCAGCCAUUUCAAGUGGAUAUUGUUGAGCUUGAUAUGUGCAUAAAUUUUACCCAGAACUCUAGCCUCAGUGCUGCUUAUAUAAGAGAUAAUCGGUUCAAGAAGAGAAUUAACUUCAACUGAACUCCUAGUGCAGGGGAGGUACCUUGUCACACUCAACCCCUGGGCACAUUCUGUGAGGGAGGGAUGUUUCUAAAUCCCCCUUUAAAAUCCCCAUAUUUUAAAUGAUGAAAUUAUAUUUCAGACUUUGGGGAUUGAAGUUGGCCUUAUAGGACACUCAAGUCACCGCCUUGACUAUUGGCACCUUUUGUAUCUUGAUAAUGUUCCAGAGAGAUCUGUCAGAACACACGUCUGAACCCCUUUGAAGAUGCAAAGCUCAGGUCUCUUCUUUCAACUCUUCUUUCAACUGCGUCUGGGUUUAUUAUCAGAUGCCUCUUGUCUGACCAGUUAAAACAAGAUAAACAAAACAGAAUUCCUUUAGAUCCAACUUCCUUACAAUUUAUGACUUUAGGGUAUUACUUGAGUACUCGGAAGUCAAAGAGAAAAGGGCUUAUCUCUUUACUCAACUAGUUCCAAGAAUUUGGAGGGACUAUCACUCCCACUCAGUGACAAGUAACACAGAGAAAUUGGCAUCCUCAUAGUUAGGAACCCAAAGUAUGGUUGUUUUUUUCAAGGAACCACAUUCUUCAUAACUGGGGAUAUCAAGAAAAUCUUGUUUUUCUCUCAACUGUCAAACUCUUGCAGAAAUAUCCCUGGACCCUCAAUCCAAAGGAAGCUGUACCCUCAACAUCCAUUUAUAAUAACAGUGUCACCUUUUCUAUUUCUGGGAAAGUGGAGCGAAGCCAGGAUUUUUAAAUCCUCAUUCAUUGAUCUCCUGUACAACCUCUCAGCUUAUACUGUUUAAUAUCUUGUUUGAUUGACCUUUGAGUUUCUGAAAGAAUGGAUAGGUAACUUGUCCCUUAGCAGGUUUUCCUGAAAUCUCAUUUCUCUUGGCUUUGCUUGAGAGAAGAGUGAGACACCAGGCCAGGCAAGGUUAUGCUCUCUAAUGAGGACCUGGAGUAACAGGAUGGGGAAGGGGAUUUGAUGUCAGGAACCAUCAACAUCCAAUCAGGACAAAAUUAUUUUCUGAUUCCAGCUGACCAUGCACUUUUCUUUGCAGCUGCAACUUCAUUAAAUGGAGCACUGAGUCUCCCACAAGAAAAGGUCAACAUUUCCAUUUGGGCAUUCAAACAUCUCAAGACGGGUUUGAGGCCUCGGUGUUCUAUUGAUUCAACCAUCCCCACGCUGAGCACAGAACUUUGCACAGAAUAGAUGGGCGAUGUCAAUCAAAGCUCACCGCUGGGGUUAUUUAUUUUCAGCUUGACUCACAGGGCUAUCAAAUAUUGAAGUUGAAGGGGAAAAAAGGUAAUUCUACUUUAGUACAUGUGUGCAAAUAAAGCUUUCACAAUUGAUGCAUUCCUGAAACUGAAAUUCAUGAAGAACACUUUGAAUAAGAAAGUGUCUUUCUGCCUUCAUUUGGCCUGGGUUUACUAAAUACUCAUUGACCAUAAAACACAAAAAUAGGGGUCUUCAGAGGAGACACUGACUCUAAAACAAACUAUUGUAAUUAAGUGCCAAGUGACAUGGAAAUAUAAAGCACUGAUGAUCAAGAAAUAGGAGGAAUUUUCUUUGGAGUACAAAAGAAAUUGGUUGCUUUAACACAUGGAGAAAAUUAUGAUAUUUUCCUGAGAAACUGUAUACGCGGGUCAAAAGUUUGCUAAAAUUAUAAUAUUAAUGAUAGCAAAAUUGAAAAUAAUUUUUUUAUUUCUUUGAAUAUUUUAUGGCAUUAGUUGCAUCUUGAUAAUGUUUUUUAUUUAAAAAGUCUAGUUUUGUAUUAUACAUUAAAGCUUCUCUGCUCAACAAUACAAGCUAUGGUAUAGAUGUUGUUUAUUAAUAUUUUAUGAAUGCUAUAUUAUUGCAAUUUUGUUUUCCCUCAAGUUUCCUCCUUUUCAUCUCCACCAGGUGCACUUUGCCCCUUGAAUGGAUCAUAUCCUUUUCCCACAUACUCACUUAAAACAUGUUGGUCAUGCUGGGCAAGGUGGUGCACACCUGUAAUCCCAGCUGCUCGGGAGGCUGGGGCAAGAGGACUAUAAGUUCAAAGCCAGCCUCAGCAACUUAGGGAGGCCCUAAGCAACUUAGUAAGAACCUGUCUCAAAAUAAAAAAUAAAAAGGGCUGAAGAUGUGGCUUAGCUGUUAAGU